rnacentral:rRNA from 1 species
AAACCCGGAUCCAGCAACGCCGCGUGAGGAUGAAGGCCUUCGGGUCGUAAACCUCUUUAAGGGAGAAGAGAAAGGACGGUAUCCCUGGAAUAAGUCACGGCUAACUACGUGCCAGCAGCCGCGGUAAUACGUAGGUGACGAGCGUUAUCCGGAUUUACUGGGCGUAAAGCGCUUGUAGGUGGCUCUGUAAGUUGGGCGUGAAAACACCGGGCUUAACUCGGUGACGCCGUCCAAUACUGCGGGGCUGGAGGAUGUCAGAGGAAGGUGGAAUUCCUGGUGUAGUGGUGAAAUGCGUAGAUAUCAGGAGGAACACCCGUGGCGAAGGCGGCCUUCUGGGGCAUUCCUGACACUGAGAAGCGAAAGCUAGGGGAGCAAACAGGAUUAGAAACCCUGGUAGUCCUAGCCGUAAACGAUGGAUGCUAGGUGUUGGCGGACUUAACCCUGCCAAUGCCGAAGCUAACGCGUUAAGCAUCCCGCCUGGGAAGUACGAUCGCAAGAUUA